rnacentral:rRNA from 1 species
GAUGAACGCUGGCGGCGUGCCUAAUACAUGCAAGUCGAGCGAACAGACGAGGAUCUUGCUCCUCUUACGUUAGCGGCGGACGUGUGAGUAACACGUGGAUAACCUACCUAUAAGACUUGGAUAACUUCGGGAAACCGGAGCUAAUACCGGAUAAUAUAUUUAACCUCAUGGUUCAAUAGUUAAAUACGGUUUUUCUGUCACUUAUAGAUUGAUCCUCGCCGCAUUAGCUAGUUGGUAAGGUAACGGCUUACCAAGGCAACGAUGCGUAGCCGACCUGAGAGGGUGAUCGGCCAAACGGGAAGUGAGAAAGGGUACAGAGUAAUACGGGAGGGAGCAGUAGGGAAUAUUGCGCAAUGGGGGAAAGGAUGAAGGAGGAAAGCCGCGUGAGGGAAGAAGGGCUUCGGAUCGGAAAAAUAUGUUAUUAGGGAAGAAAAAAAGGGUAAGUAAAUAUGAAAGUAUUGACGGUAACAAAUAAGAAAGCAACGGCUAACUACGUG